rnacentral:rRNA from 1 species
AUUGAACGCUGGCGGCAUGCUUUACACAUGCAAGUCGAACGGCAGCGCGGGCUUCGGCCUGGCGGCGAGUGGCGAACGGGUGAGUAAUGCAUCGGAACGUGCCCAGUAGUGGGGGAUAGCCCGGCGAAAGCCGGAUUAAUACCGCAUACGACCUGAGGGUGAAAGCGGGGGACCGAAAGGCCUCGCGCUAUUGGAGCGGCCGAUGUCGGAUUAGCUAGUUGGUGGGGUAAAGGCUUACCAAGGCGACGAUCCGUAGCUGGUCUGAGAGGACGACCAGCCACACUGGGACUGAGACACGGCCCAGACUCCUACGGGAGGCAGCAGUGGGGAAUUUUGGACAAUGGGGACAACCCUGAUCCAGCCAUGCCGCGUGCGGGAAGAAGGCCUUCGGGUUGUAAACCGCUUUUGUUCGGGAAGAAAUCCUCUGGGCUAAUACCCCGGGGGGAUGACGGUACCGGAAGAAUAAGCACCGGCUAACUACGUG